UGAGGAAUAUUGGUCAAUGGGCGCAAGCCUGAACCAGCCAUCCCGCGUGAAGGAUGAAGGCCUUAUGGGUUGUAAACUUCUUUUGUACCUGAAGAAACCCUUCUACGUGUAGGAGGUUGCCGGUAAGGUACGAAUAAGCAUCGGCUAACUCCGUGCCAGCAGCCGCGGUAAUACGGAGGAUGCAAGCGUUAUCCGGAUUUAUUGGGUUUAAAGGGUGCGCAGGUGGUUGAAUAAGUCAGUGGUGAAAGUCUGCCGCUUAACGGUAGGAUUGCCAUUGAUACUGUUUAACUUGAGUUUGGAUGAGGUAGGCGGAAUGUGUAGUGUAGCGGUGAAAUGCAUAGAUAUUACACAGAACACCGAUUGCGAAGGCAGCUUACUAAUCCACUACUGACACUGAGGCACGAAAGCGUGGGGAUCAAACAGG
rnacentral:rRNA from 1 species